AGUGAACGCUGGCGGUAGGCCUAACACAUGCAAGUCGAACGACAGCACAGUAAGAUCUUGCUCUUACGGGUGGCGAGUGGCGGACGGGUGAGGAAUACAUCGCAAUCUACUUUUUCGUGGGGGAUAACGGAGGGAGACUUACGCUAAUACCUCAUACGACCUACGGCUUAAAUCAAGAGAUCUUCGGACCUUGCGCGAUUGAAUUAGCCGAUGUCGGAUUAGCUAGUUGGCGGGGUAAAGGCCCACCAAGGCGACGAUCCGUAGCUGGUCUGAGAGGAUGAUCAGCCACACUGGAACUGAGACACGGUCCAGACUCCUACGGGAGGCAGCAGUGGGGAAUAUUGGACAAUGGGCGCAAGCCUGAUCCAGCCAUACCGCGUGGGUGAAGAAGGCCUUCGGGUUGUAAAGCCCUUUUGUUGGGAAAGAAAAGCAGUAGGUUAAUACCCCGCUGUUCUGACGGUACCCAAAGAAUAAGCACCGGCUAACUUCGUG
rnacentral:rRNA from 1 species